UUAAGCGACUAAGCGUACACGGUGGAUGCCCUGGCAGUCAGAGGCGAUGAAGGACGUGCUAAUCUGCGAUAAGCGUCGGUGAGGUGAUAUGAACCGUUAUAACCGGCGAUUUCCGAAUGGGGAAACCCAGUGUGUUUCGACACACUAUCAUUAACUGAAUCCAUAGGUUAAUGAGGCGAACCGGGGGAACUGAAACAUCUAAGUACCCCGAGGAAAAGAAAUCAACCGAGAUUCCCCCAGUAGCGGCGAGCGAACGGGGAGGAGCCCAGAGCCUGAAUCAGUGUGUGUGUUAGUGGAAGCGUCUGGAAAGGCGUGCGAUACAGGGUGACAGCCCCGUACACAAAAAUGCACAUAUUGUGAGCUCGAUGAGUAGGGCGGGACACGUGGUAUCCUGUCUGAAUAUGGGGGGACCAUCCUCCAAGGCUAAAUACUCCUGACUGACCGAUAGUGAACCAGUACCGUGAGGGAAAGGCGAAAAGAACCCCGGCGAGGGGAGUGAAAAAGAACCUGAAACCGUGUACGUACAAGCAGUGGGAGCCUCUUAAUGGGGUGACUGCGUACCUUUUGUAUAAUGGGUCAGCGACUUAUAUUCUGUAGCAAGGUUAACCGAAUAGGGGAGCCGAAGGGAAACCGAGUCUUAACUGGGCGUUAAGUUGCAGGGUAUAGACCCGAAACCCGGUGAUCUAGCCAUGGGCAGGUUGAAGGUUGGGUAACACUAACUGGAGGACCGAACCGACUAAUGUUGAAAAAUUAGCGGAUGACUUGUGGCUGGGGGUGAAAGGCCAAUCAAACCGGGAGAUAGCUGGUUCUCCCCGAAAGCUAUUUAGGUAGCGCCUCGUGAAUUCAUCUCCGGGGGUAGAGCACUGUUUCGGCAAGGGGGUCAUCCCGACUUACCAACCCGAUGCAAACUGCGAAUACCGGAGAAUGUUAUCACGGGAGACACACGGCGGGUGCUAACGUCCGUCGUGAAGAGGGAAACAACCCAGACCGCCAGCUAAGGUCCCAAAGUCAUGGUUAAGUGGGAAACGAUGUGGGAAGGCCCAGACAGCCAGGAUGUUGGCUUAGAAGCAGCCAUCAUUUAAAGAAAGCGUAAUAGCUCACUGGUCGAGUCGGCCUGCGCGGAAGAUGUAACGGGGCUAAACCAUGCACCGAAGCUGCGGCAGCGACGCUUAUGCGUUGUUGGGUAGGGGAGCGUUCUGUAAGCCUGUGAAGGUGUGCUGUGAGGCAUGCUGGAGGUAUCAGAAGUGCGAAUGCUGACAUAAGUAACGAUAAAGCGGGUGAAAAGCCCGCUCGCCGGAAGACCAAGGGUUCCUGUCCAACGUUAAUCGGGGCAGGGUGAGUCGACCCCUAAGGCGAGGCCGAAAGGCGUAGUCGAUGGGAAACAGGUUAAUAUUCCUGUACUUGGUGUUACUGCGAAGGGGGGACGGAGAAGGCUAUGUUGGCCGGGCGACGGUUGUCCCGGUUUAAGCGUGUAGGCUGGUUUUCCAGGCAAAUCCGGAAAACCAAGGCUGAGGCGUGAUGACGAGGCACUACGGUGCUGAAGCGACAAAUGCCCUGCUUCCAGGAAAAGCCUCUAAGCAUCAGGUAACAUCAAAUCGUACCCCAAACCGACACAGGUGGUCAGGUAGAGAAUACCAAGGCGCUUGAGAGAACUCGGGUGAAGGAACUAGGCAAAAUGGUGCCGUAACUUCGGGAGAAGGCACGCUGAUAUGUAGGUGAAGCGACUUGCUCGUGGAGCUGAAAUCAGUCGAAGAUACCAGCUGGCUGCAACUGUUUAUUAAAAACACAGCACUGUGCAAACACGAAAGUGGACGUAUACGGUGUGACGCCUGCCCGGUGCCGGAAGGUUAAUUGAUGGGGUUAGCGGCAACGCGAAGCUCUUGAUCGAAGCCCCGGUAAACGGCGGCCGUAACUAUAACGGUCCUAAGGUAGCGAAAUUCCUUGUCGGGUAAGUUCCGACCUGCACGAAUGGCGUAAUGAUGGCCAGGCUGUCUCCACCCGAGACUCAGUGAAAUUGAACUCGCUGUGAAGAUGCAGUGUACCCGCGGCAAGACGGAAAGACCCCGUGAACCUUUACUAUAGCUUGACACUGAACAUUGAGCCUUGAUGUGUAGGAUAGGUGGGAGGCUUUGAAGUGUGGACGCCAGUCUGCAUGGAGCCGACCUUGAAAUACCACCCUUUAAUGUUUGAUGUUCUAACGUGGGCCCCUAAUCGGGGUUGCGGACAGUGUCUGGUGGGUAGUUUGACUGGGGCGGUCUCCUCCUAAAGAGUAACGGAGGAGCACGAAGGUUGGCUAAUCCUGGUCGGACAUCAGGAGGUUAGUGCAAUGGCAUAAGCCAGCUUGACUGCGAGCGUGACGGCGCGAGCAGGUGCGAAAGCAGGUCAUAGUGAUCCGGUGGUUCUGAAUGGAAGGGCCAUCGCUCAACGGAUAAAAGGUACUCCGGGGAUAACAGGCUGAUACCGCCCAAGAGUUCAUAUCGACGGCGGUGUUUGGCACCUCGAUGUCGGCUCAUCACAUCCUGGGGCUGAAGUAGGUCCCAAGGGUAUGGCUGUUCGCCAUUUAAAGUGGUACGCGAGCUGGGUUUAGAACGUCGUGAGACAGUUCGGUCCCUAUCUGCCGUGGGCGCUGGAGAACUGAGGGGGGCUGCUCCUAGUACGAGAGGACCGGAGUGGACGCAUCACUGGUGUUCGGGUUGUCAUGCCAAUGGCACUGCCCGGUAGCUAAAUGCGGAAGAGAUAAGUGCUGAAAGCAUCUAAGCACGAAACUUGCCCCGAGAUGAGUUCUCCCUGACUCCUUGAGAGUCCUGAAGGAACGUUGAAGACGACGACGUUGAUAGGCCGGGUGUGUAAGCGCAGCGAUGCGUUGAGCUAACCGGUACUAAUGAACCGUGAGGCUUAACCUU
rnacentral:rRNA from 1 species